rnacentral:rRNA from 1 species
GACGAACGCUGGCGGCGUGCCUAAUACAUGCAAGUAGGACGCUGAAGAGAGGAGCUUGCUCUUCUUGGAUGAGUUGCGAACGGGUGAGUAACGCGUAGGUAACCUGCCUUGUAGCGGGGGAUAACUAUUGGAAACGAUAGCUAAUACCGCAUAACAAUGGAUGACACAUGUCAUUUAUUUGAAAGGGGCAAUUGCUCCACUACAAGAUGGACCUGCGUUGUAUUAGCUAGUAGGUGAGGUAACGGCUCACCUAGGCGACGAUACAUAGCCGACCUGAGAGGGUGAUCGGCCACACUGGGACUGAGACACGGCCCAGACUCCUACGGGAGGCAGCAGUAGGGAAUCUUCGGCAAUGGGGGCAACCCUGUCCGAGCAACGCCGCGUGAGUGAAGAAGGUUUUCGGAUCGUAAGCUCUGUUGUAAGUACAGAAGCAGUGUGAGAGUGGAA